rnacentral:rRNA from 1 species
GACGAACGCUGGCGGCGCGCUUAACACAUGCAAGUCGAACGGAAAGGCCUGCUUUCCCUUGUGGAUUGCGGGUACUCGGGUGGCUAACGGGUGAGUAACACGUGAGUGAUCUGCCCCCAACUUGGGUAUAAGCCUGGGAAACUGUGUCUAAUUCCCGAUAGGACUGCAGGGUGGUGCCUUUGGUGGCAGACGAUCUUCUAGUUGUUGGUGAUGAGCUCGCGGCCUAUCAGCUUGUUGGUGGGGUAAUGUCCUACCAAGGCGGCGACUGGUAGCCGGCCGGGGAGCGGGGACGGUCACAUUGGGACAGGGAUCCGGCCCAGACGGCAGCGGGAAGCAGCGAUGGGGAAUAUUGGGCAGUGGGCGGAAGCCUGAUGCAGCGACGCAGCGUGGGGGAUGACGGCCUUCGGGUUGUAAGCUCCUUGCGACCGCGAGGAAGCCACCUGGCUGGAAGGGUGGUGACGGUAGUGGUAGAAGAAGCACCGGCUAACUACGUG